rnacentral:rRNA from 1 species
GAUGAACGCUGGCGGCGUGCAUAACACAUUCAAGUCGAACGAGGUAGCAAUACCUAGUGGCGGACGGGUGAGUAACGCGUGAGCAACCUGCCUUUCAGAGGGGGACAACAGUUGGAAACGACUGCUAAUACCGCAUAACGUAUCGGAACCGCAUGGCUCUGAUACCAAAGAUUUUAUCGCUGAAAGAUGGGCUCGCGUACGAUUAGAUAGUUGGUGAGGUAACGGCUCACCAAGUCGACGAUCGUUAGCCGGACUGAGAGGUUGAACGGCCACAUUGGGACUGAGACACGGCCCAGACUCCUACGGGAGGCAGCAGUGAGGAAUAUUGGGCAAUGGGCGCAAGCCUGACCCAGCAAUGCCGCGUGAAGGAUGAAGGUUUUCGGAUUGUAAACUUCUUUUAAGAGGGACGAUAAUGACGGUACCUCUUGAAUAAGCCACGGCUAACUACGUG